UGUUACAGCAGCAGUGGGGAAAGUCACGGCUUUGGGUUCCAUGAGUUGCUGUGGUCCUGAGCAAGAAUGGCAAUUUAAAGAGCUCUGUGAGUCCAGGUCCCUGAGAGCACUUCAUCAAGACCCUGGAGCCGGAGGAAGUGGACUUGACUGUCAGUUACUGCACAGGAAAUGACCCAGUCUCGAGAGGACGGAACGACUCAAUAGGAAAACACAUGGAUCUUCUCUUGAAACAUUCACUUCAGUCAGAACUCGCUUUCAAAACUCAGCUAAUUACUCUGGUGCUGAUGCUCCGUGUAAAGGACACAAUCUGGCAACUAUUGAAGCAAACAUAAACCUGCAGAGGUGAAUGGACAUGGGAGCUAAAGAGCCUUGCUAUGAGGAAAAACUCUACCGUGCACACAGAGAACAGAGCUCAAUGCUGCUAACUGGGGGAGCAGCUGGACAACUAGAAGAGAGAACAGUAGGACACUAUUAUUAAUACAGAUUCCUGGAUUAUUCUUCUGCAAGAACCAAGAAAAGCAAAGACUGAUGAUGAGUGCUCUGAGCAAACACCGCAGUCAAGACGCAUGAGUGACUUUACGGAGUUCUACAUGUAAUGUUGGGCAUUUACUGUACGCAGAACUUCUAAUAAUUUAUGUGGAUGCCAUUCAUAAACCUGUUAGAUUUUGAUGUUUUAGUUUUGAGAUUAAUAAAAUUGUAUGCUUUAACAAUGUUA